GGAAUGGAUUCAUUGCUAAUGAAUGAAAGGAACACUAGGGCCUCAUGCACUCGGACUGACAACCAGAAUUGACGCUCACCUUGUGUCAAUCUCUCUCCCUUUCCCUCUUCCUCUCCCUCUGACUCUAUCAUCAUUUUCUCACGGUCUACAAACAUCAGUGCCUCCGCUACCCCACCGGGCGAUACCCCUCAUAACCCUCCACAGCGCUGUUCCCAUGGUGACCGCGUGGCUGACAAACCAGAGAGACGGAUGGAGUGCAUGCACAACACUCAUCCGUGCCUUUCCCCUCUGCCCUCCAGGAGGUCUUCACAUCUUCUCCUCUCACUUCAACACAUCCGUUCCUGGGGCUGUCCCUCCAGCUGCUUUCAGCAGCCGCUGCGACUGCUGAUCCUCUCAAAGCCGUUGGUGCACUUCCGCGUGGGGCACUCUUCUGUUCCAUGGCUAGAAAGAACUUCAGCUGCGCUGUCAUUCUUCCUAUGAAAGGACCGAGUUUCCUCUUCAUUCUGAACAUUUUCUCCACAUACUCCUAGUGUGGACCCACUGAAGAGGUAGAGGCCAUGAACCUCCCCAGUGCUCUGAGGCCACAGCACCCCUUGGCAGGGAGAGUUAAACUAAAUAAAGAGCUGAAGGG
rnacentral:lncRNA from 1 species